rnacentral:rRNA from 1 species
UACGGGGGGGGCAAGCGUUGUUCGGAAUUACUGGGCGUAAAGGGCUCGUAGGCGGCCAACUAAGUCAGACGUGAAAUCCCUCGGCUUAACCGGGGAACUGCGUCUGAUACUGGAUGGCUUGAGUGUGGGAGAGGAAUGCGGAAUUUCAGGUGUAGCGGUGAAAUGCGUAGAUAUCUGGAGGAACACCGGUGGCGAAGGCGGCAUUCUGGACCAUUACUGACGCUGAGGAGCGAAAGCCAGGGGAGCAAACGGG